CUUGAUCUCGAUUCAAGAGUGACGGGCGAUUUGUGCAUAUUAAAAUUUUGUUUUCUAUUUUAAUUUUUUUUUUUAAAUUUAAUUUUAAGUUCUUCUUAUUUGUUUAUUCUUCUAUAUAAUUUUAAUUUUAUUUUUAUGAGUUUCAUAAAUAUCAAACUUAUAUCUUCUGUCUUGAUUUGUUUUGUUUAAUUUAUUUUAAAUUUACUAAAAUUUUUAUAUUUUAAUUUUAAACAAUGAUAUAGAAAGUUAAAAAGUUAGUUUUAUUUUAUCGUGGGCUAUCUAUUAUUAUACAAAACUCCCUAAAGUUGUUAAUACCGCCAUUUUAUUUAGAUUUAGAUUAAUUAUUUACUAUCUAUUUUUAUAAUAAAA
rnacentral:rRNA from 1 species